GAGGGAUAUUGCGCAAUGGGCGAAAGCCUGACGCAGCAACGCCGCGUGGGGGAGGAAGGCCUUCGGGUCGUAAACCCUUUUUCUGGGGGACGAGGAAGGACGGUACCCCAGGAAUAAGCCUCGGCUAACUACGUGCCAGCAGCCGCGGUAAAACGUAGGAGGCGAGUGUUAUCCGGAUUCACUGGGCGUAAAGCGCGUGCAGGUGGUGCUUUAAGUUGGGCGUGAAAGCUCCCGGCUUAACUGGGAGGAGUCGUUCAAUACUGAGGCACUUGAGGGCAGGAGAGGGAGGUGGAAUUCCCGGUGUAGUGGUGAAAUGCGUAGAUAUCGGGAGGAACACCAGUGGCGAAGGCGGCCUCCUGGUCUGCUCCUGACACUAAGACGCGAAAGCUAGGGGAGCGAACGG
rnacentral:rRNA from 1 species